AGAAGAGAAGAGAAAACUGGAAUUGAAAAAUACAGGGGAAGGGGGUACAAUUUAAAGUGCACCUUGAAGAAACAACCAGUUAUAUCCAGAAUGUGAGAUAAUCUACUGUAAGACAACUGGACCUGAAUGCUUAAAAUAGGUGUGAAGAAAACAGCCUGAAUAAAAGGUGUCCUACAAGACCAUGUUCUUACGACAUCACUCCAUUAAAGCUGCCAUGUUGCCUAUAUAAGAACAAAUACAAUACAGCAUACAUUUCUAGCACGACCCUAGAUAUUUUCUCUAGUGUAAAUAAAGAGAAGGAGAAGUUGAAAAGAUUU